rnacentral:rRNA from 1 species
AUUGAACGCUGGCGGCAGGCUUAACACAUGCAAGUCGGACGGUAACAGGGAGGAAGCUUGCUUUCUUUGCUGACGAGUGGCGGACGGGUGAGUAAUGCUUGGGAAUCUGUUUUAUGGAGGGGGAUAACUACGGGAAACUGUAGCUAAUACCGCGUAAUAUCGAGAGAUUAAAGUGUGGGACCGUAAGGCCACAUGCCAUAGAGUGAGCCCAUGUGGGAUUAGGUAGUUGGUGGGGUAAAGGCCUACCAAGCCGUCGAUCUCUAGCUGGUCUGAGAGGAUGACCAGCCACACUGGGACUGAGACACGGCCCAGACUCCUACGGGAGGCAGCAGUGGGGAAUAUUGCACAAUGGGCGCAAGCCUGAUGCAGCCAUGCCGCGUGAAUGAAGAAGGCCUUCGGGUUGUAAAGUUCUUUCGGUGGUGAGGAAGGUUGUAAUGUUAAUAGCAUUAUAAUUUGACGUUAGCCACAGAAGAAGCACCGGCUAACUCCGUGCCAGCAGCCGCGGUAAUACGGAGGGUGCGAGCGUUAAUCGGAAUAACUGGGCGUAAAGGGCACGCAGGCGGAUACUUAAGUGAGGUGUGAAAGCCCUGGGCUUAACCUAGGAAUUGCAUUUCAUACUGGGUAUCUAGAGUAUUUUAGGGAGGGGUAGAAUUCCACGUGUAGCGGUGAAAUGCGUAGAGAUGUGGAGGAAUACCGAAGGCGAAGGCAGCCCCUUGGGGGAAUACUGACGCUCAUGUGCGAAAGCGUGGGGAGCAAACAGG